rnacentral:lncRNA from 1 species
CAGGAGGCCUGGUUCUAGCCCAAGCACAGUCUCCAGCUUAAGGAAUGACCUUAAGCAAGCACUUCUUCCCUCAGGGCAACAUUUAAAAAAAUAAGAAGAUUGGAUUGAUCAACAUUUUACUGCCUGUAUUUCACAGGACAUUCUCCUUUUAAUAUAUUUGCUUGAACCUUCUUGAAAACAGGACUCCAUGGACAAAUAAGGAGAGAGCCACCAUGUCAUGACAACACAUGUCAUGAGAAAGCCCUGAGGAGAUGUCCCUGUGGGGAGAAACUGAGACCUGCCACCAACAACUAGAAUCGCCUUGCCAGCCAUGUCUAACACCAGCAAUAUUUACACACCGAAGGCACGAGUAUGGCCAUUUGGGGGGCUGUGAUAUUGUUAUUGAGGAGUUUUCCAGAGAUAACUAGACAAGAGCUAGAAAACAAUGGAAGGAACUUUAGAAGCUCACAGGGUGUGGAAAGGGAAGAUCUCAGUUUCAAUGGAGCAUUGGAUCUAUACAAGUCAAGAGGCAAAAAGUGGGCUUUGCUGAAGACUGAUGCUAAAGCUGAAUUCUGGACAAUGAGUAGCAAUGAGCCAUGUAAAGAAAAGGAAGUGAGUAGGUCCUGAGGCAAAACAGAGUUUGCCACGUUUGAGGAACUGUGAGAGAACUGUUGUUCCCAGUGGGAGAACACUAAGAAUGAAAUUGGCUCAAAAUGAGGCUGGAGAUGUAGGCUUAGAUUACAUAGGUUGGCCAGCAUAGGAAUUUUAGAUUUCAUUUUAAAAAUCAAUGGGGAAUCAUUAAAUUGCUUUAAGUUAGAGAGGAGGAAUAGCUGCAGAGCAAAUUUCCAUUUUUUAAAGAUUAUUUUAUGGGUAAGACUUCCAGAAUAGCCACCACCAUCCCCCCAUCACCACAUAACCCCCCCCACCACCUCCCCCCACCAUACUCCCACAUUCCCC